AUUGAACGCUGGCGGCAUGCCUUACACAUGCAAGUCGAACGGUAACGCGGGGCAACCUGGCGACGAGUGGCGAACGGGUGAGUAAUGUAUCGGAACGUGCCCAGUAGUGGGGGAUAGCCCGGCGAAAGCCGGAUUAAUACCGCAUACGACCUAAGGGUGAAAGCGGGGGAUCGCAAGACCUCGCGCUAUUGGAGCGGCCGAUAUCAGAUUAGCUAGUUGGUGGGGUAAAAGCCUACCAAGGCGACGAUCUGUAGCUGGUCUGAGAGGACGACCAGCCACACUGGGACUGAGACACGGCCCAGACUCCUACGGGAGGCAGCAGUGAGGAAUUUUGGACAGUGGGCGCAAGCCUGAUCCAGCCAUUCCGCGUGAGUGAAGAAGGCCUUCGGGUUGUAAAGCUCUUUCGCAAGGGAAGAAAACUUACAUUCUAAUAAAGUGUGAGGCUGACGGUACCUUGAUAAGAAGCACCGGCUAACUACGUGCCAGCCGCCGCGGUAAUAC
rnacentral:rRNA from 1 species